GCCGAAAGUCCAAGGGUUCCUGCUUAAAGCUAAUCUGAGCAGGGUAAGCCGACCCCUAAGGCGAGGCCGAAAGGCGUAGUCGAUGGGAACCAGGUUAAUAUUCCUGGGCCAGGAGGAUGUGACGGAUUGUGGCGGCGUGCGUGCCUUAUCGGAUUGGCACGUAUCCAAGACAGUCCCAGGAAAUAGCCCUCCAUGAGAUCGUACCCUAAACCGACACAGGUGGACUGGUAGAGAAUACCAAGGCGCUUGAGAGAACGAUGUUGAAGGAACUCGGCAAAAU
rnacentral:rRNA from 1 species